CUGAGUACGGCGGAACACGUGAAAUUCCGUCGGAAUCCGGGAGGACCAUCUCCCAAGGCUAAAUACUCCCUAGUGACCGAUAGUGAACCAGUACCGUGAGGGAAAGGUGAAAAGCACCCCGGAAGGGGAGUGAAACAGUUCCUGAAACCGUGUGCCUACAAGUAGUUAGAGCCCGUUAAUGGGUGAUAGCGUGCCUUUUGUAGAAUGAACCGGCGAGUUACGAUUUGUUGCAAGGUUAAGCGGAAAAAGCGGAGCCGUAGCGAAAGCGAGUCUGAAUAGGGCGCAUAAGUAACAGGUCGUAGACCCGAAACCAGGUGAUCUACCCAUGUCCAGGAUGAAGGUAAGGUAAUACUUACUGGAGGUCCGAACCCACGCACGUUGAAAAGUGCGGGGAUGAGGUGUGGGUAGCGGAGAAAUUCCAAUCGAACUUGGAGAUAGCUGGUUCUCUCCGAAAUAGCUUUAGGGCUAGCCUCGAGGUAAAGAGUCAUGGAGGUAGAGCACUGUUUGGACUAGGGGCCCUUCUCGGGUUACCGAAUUCAGAUAAACUCCGAAUGCCAUGUACUUAUACUCGGGAGUCAGACUGCGAGUGAUAAGAUCCGUAGUCGAAAGGGAAACAGCCCAGACCACCAGUUAAGGUCCCCAAAUAUAUGUUAAGUGGAAAAGGAUGUGGGGUUGCUUAGACAACCAGGAUGUUGGCUUAGAAGCAGCCACCAUUGAAAGAGUGCGUAAUAGCUCACUGGUCGAGUGACCCCGCGCCGAAAAUGUACCGGGGCUAAACAUAUUACCGAAACUGUGGAUGAACCUCUUUAGAGGUUCGUGGUAGGAGAGCGUUCUAAGGGCGGUGAAGUCAGACCGGAAGGACUGGUGGAGCGCUUAGAAGUGAGAAUGCCGGUAUGAGUAGCGAAAGAAGGGUGAGAAUCCCUUCCACCGAAUAUCUAAGGUUUCCUGAGGAAGGCUCGUCCGCUCAGGGUUAGUCGGGACCUAAGCCGAGGCCGAUAGGCGUAGGCGAUGGACAACAGGUAGAGAUUCCUGUACCAGUGCUAAUUGUUUAACCGAUGGGGUGACACAGAAGGAUAGGG
rnacentral:rRNA from 1 species